rnacentral:rRNA from 1 species
AGCAGCCGCCGCGGGAAAACGUAGGUGGCGAGCGUUGUCCGGAAUCAUUGGGCGUAAAGGGAGUGUAGGCGGUCUUUUAAGUCUGAUGUGAAAGCCCACGGCUCAACCGUGGAGGGUCAUUGGAAACUGGGAGACUUGAGUGCAGAAGAGGAGAGCGGAAUUCCAUGUGUAGCGGUGAAAUGCGUAGAUAUAUGGAGGAACACCAGUGGCGAAGGCGGCUCUCUGGUCUGUAACUGACGCUGAGGCUCGAAAGCGUGGGGAGCAAACAGGAUUAGAUACCCCCGUAGUCCCUGUCUCUUAUAC